rnacentral:rRNA from 1 species
AGCUCCAAUAGUGUAUAUUAAAGUUGUUGCGGUUAAAAAGCUCGUAGUUGGACCUUGGGGUUGAGCACAACAGUCCCUCUCGAUUCGUCGGGGGGAUCAAGGCUGAGUGUUUCUUCCUCUAAUCUCGAAACGUCAACGGGGAAACUCGUGUUUCGUAGGCUUUACUUUGAAUAAAUUAGGGUGUUUAAAGCAGGCACAAGUGCCUUGAAUACAUUAGCAUGGGAUAAUAGAAGAUGACCUUUGGUCUAUACUUUAUUGGUUUCUAAGGCCAGGGUAAUGAUUGAUAGGGACAGUUGGGGUCGCUCGUAUUCAGUGGUCAGAGGUGAAAUUCUAAGACCCAUUGAGGACGAACAAAUGCGAAGGCAUUCGACAAGGAUGUUUUCA